rnacentral:lncRNA from 1 species
UCUGUGUGUCCGUGUCCUUGUCCCCGAGGUCCCCUCUCUUACCGUGUCCUCAUCCCCUGAGGUCCCCUGUGUGACCGUGUCCUCGUCCCCGAGGUCCCCUCUGUGUGACUGUGUCCUCGUCCCCUGAGGUCCCCUCUGUGUGACCAUGUCCUCUUCCCUGAGGUCCCCUCUGUGUCCGUGUCCUCAUCCCCGAGGUCCCCUCUGUGUGACCGUGUCCUCUUCCCUGAGGUCCCCUCUGUGUCCGUGUCCUUGUCCCCGAGGUCCCCUCUGUGUCCGUGUCCUUGUCCCCGAGGUCCCCUCUGUGUGACCGUGUCCUCUUCCCCGAGGUCCCCUCUGUGUGACCGUGUCCUCUUCCCUGAGGUCCCCUCUGUGUGACCGUGUCCUCUU